UCAAGAAACUUCCACAAUGGGCGAAAGCCUGAUGGAGCGACGUCGCGUGAUGGACGAAGUGCUUCGGCACGUAAACAUCUUUUAUGUGGGAUGAAAUUAUUGACAGUACCACAUGAAUAAGGGGCUCCUAACUCUGUGCCAGCAGGAGCGGUAAUACAGAGGCCCCAAGCGUUAUCCGGAAUCACUGGGCGUAAAGGGUGUCGAGGCGGUUGUAUUAGUCGUUCGUAAAAUCUACGAGCUUAACUUGUAGGCGGCGAACGAAACGGUACGACUUGAGGUUUGGAGAGGUGCGUGGAACUCACGGUGUAGGGGUGAAAUCCGUUGAUAUCGUGGGGAACACCAAAGGCGAAGGCGGCGCACUGGCCAAAAUCUGACGCUCACACACGAAAGCUAGGGUAGCGAAGAGGAUUAGAUACCCAGUAGUCCCUGAGCGGGCUGGCAAGGCGCAU
rnacentral:rRNA from 1 species